rnacentral:rRNA from 1 species
CCUACGGGAGGCAGCAGUGAGGAAUAUUGGUCAAUGGACGAGAGUCUGAACCAGCCAAGUAGCGUGAAGGAUGACUGCCCUAUGGGUUGUAAACUUCUUUUAUAUGGGAAUAAAACGUUCCACGUGUGGGAUUUUGUAUGUACCAUAUGAAUAAGGAACGGCUAACUCCGUGCCAGCAGCCGCGGUAAGACGGAGGAACCGAGCGUUAUCCGGAUUUAUUGGGUGUAAAGGGAGCGUAGGUGGAUUGUUAAGUCAGUUGUGAAAGUUUCGGGCUCAACCGGAAAAUUGCAGUUGAAACUGGCAGUCGUGAGUACAGGAGAGGUGGGCGGAAUUCGUGGUGUAGCGGUGAAAUGCUUAGAUAUCACGAAGAACUCCGAUUGCGAAGGCAGUUCACUGGACUGCAACUGACGCUGAGGCGCGAAAGUGUGGGUAUCAAACAGGAUUAGAUACCCCUGUAGUC